GGGGACAUAGCUCAGUUGGGAGAGCAGUAGACUGAAGCUGGUGUUCUAAAGGUCCCGCGUUCGAUCCGCGGUGUCCCCA
rnacentral:tRNA from 1 species